rnacentral:lncRNA from 1 species
UCACUUUCAAAAUCUCAAAAAACUAUUUAUUUUAUCAUGGAUAUGUUUACUAAAGCAUUGUAAUUAAGAUUGACACCUUUAAUUAAUAGAUAGGCAGGGCUUCAGUUUGUAGUUGAUGUUAAGCAAUGUAAACAAGUUAAAACCUUACCUAUCUAUUGAUUGCAAUGUCAAUCUUAAUUGCAUUGGCUGAGCAAACAUUUAUACAAACAAAGCAAGUGAACCAACCAGGGUUUCCCCUGGGUCAAUUAUCUUUUUCGCCACCUCUUUCGCCAAAACAAUAUAUUUUUCGCCACUUUGUUAUUUUUUUCGCCAUGUAACAUUAUAUAUUUGUCGUUCAAUUCCCCCCUAAAUAAGAUGAGUUUGCCCCAUCGUUGUCUAUGAUUAUUCUCUUAAACUUAUCUUA